UACGAAGGGGGCUAGCGUUGCUCGGAAUCACUGGGCGUAAAGCGCACGUAGGCGGAUUGUUAAGUCAGGGGUGAAAUCCUGGAGCUCAACUCCAGAACUGCCUUUGAUACUGGAGAUCUUGAGUCCGGGAGAGGUGAGUGGAAUUGCGAGUGUAGAGGUGAAAUUCGUAGAUAUUCGCAAGAACACCAGUGGCGAAGGCGGCUCACUGGCCCGGAACUGACGCUGAGACGCGAAAGCGUGGGGAGCAAACAGGG
rnacentral:rRNA from 1 species